rnacentral:rRNA from 1 species
UACACAUGCAAGUCGAACGGUAACGCGGGGCAACCUGGCGACGAGUGGCGAACGGGUGAGUAAUGCAUCGGAACGUGCCCAGUAGUGGGGGAUAGCUCGGCGAAAGCCGGAUUAAUACCGCAUACGACCUACGGGUGAAAGCGGGGGACCGCAAGGCCUCGCGCUAUUGGAGCGGCCGAUGUCAGAUUAGGUUGUUGGUGAGGUAAAGGCUCACCAAGCCGACGAUCUGUAGCUGGUCUGAGAGGACGACCAGCCACACUGGGACUGAGACACGGCCCAGACUCCUACGGGAGGCAGCAGUGGGGAAUUUUGGACAAUGGGGGCAACCCUGAUCCAGCCAUGCCGCGUGCGGGAAGAAGGCCUUCGGGUUGUAAACCGCUUUUGUCGGGGAAGAAACGCUCUGGGCUAAUACCCCGGGGUAAUGACGGUACCCGAAGAAUAAGCACCGGCUAACUACGUGCCAGCAGCCGCGGUAAUACGUAGGGUGCAAGCGUUAAUCGGAAUUACUGGGCGUAAA